rnacentral:lncRNA from 13 species
AGGCAUGAAUGGCAUACAAAAGUUCCAAAUUCACAGAGAAGACAAGUUGACAGAUAGGCUUUCAUUUGCACAUAUUUGUUUCAAUCAACUGGAUUUGCCAGUGUACGAGACGUAUGAUAAACUCUAAACAAAUCUACUCAAGGCGACUUACGAAUGCACCAAAGAAUUUGGAUUUGCAUAAGCUUACCAGAAUUUGCUCCAGUACAAUUUCGAUUUCAAUCGAUACAAUUUCGCGUUCAAUCGAUGAUAUUCUAGAGACCAAACUUAUGGUUGGAUCUUUACAGCCAGUGAUAACAUUCCGGACGUGCAAUAGCCUAUUGCUUGCAAAAUUUUUAACGUACUUACAAAAAUUGUUAUACGCAAUGUUAUAUAUAAAACUAUCUUGUGAACGUAGCGAAUCACAGUGCUCUAAUUGCUAUAAUAUGUAUUAUUACACUUAUACGACUUUAUAAAUACGAAAUAUAUAUUUUCAUUUUAUCAU